rnacentral:rRNA from 1 species
AGUGAACGCUGGCGGUAGGCCUAACACAUGCAAGUCGAACGGCAGCACAGUAAGAGCUUGCUCUUACGGGUGGCGAGUGGCGGACGGGUGAGGUAUACAUCCGAAUCUACUUUUUCGUGGGGGAUAACGUAGGGAAACUUACGCUAAUACCGCAUACGACCUACGGGUGAAAGCAGGGGAUCUUCGGACCUUGCGCGAAUGAAUGAGCCGAUGUCGGAUUACCUAGUUGGCGGGGCAAAGGCCCACCAAGGCGACGAUUCGUAGCUGGUCUGAGAGGAUGAUCAGCCACAAUGAAACUGAGACACGGACCAGACACCAACGGGAGGCAGCAGUGGGGAAUAUUGGACAAUGGGCGCAAGCCUGAUCCAGCCAUACCGCGUGGGUGAAAAAGGCCUUCGGGUUGUAAAGCCCUUUUGUUGGGAAAAAAAAGCAGCAGGUUAAUACCCCGCUGUUCUGACGGUACCCAAAGAAUAAGCACCGGCUAACUUCGUG